GACAGAGGAUGCAAGCGUUAUCCGGAAUGAUUGGGCGUAAAGCGUCUGUAGGUGGCUUUUUAAGUCCGCCGUCAAAUCCCAGGGCUCAACCCUGGACAGGCGGUGGAAACUACCAAGCUGGAGUACGGUAGGGGCAGAGGGAAUUCCCAGUGUAGAGGUGAAAUUCGUAGAUAUUGGGAAGAACACCGGUGGCGAAGGCGGCCAUCUGGACCGCAACUGACGCUGAGGCGCGAAAGCGUGGGGAGCAAACAGG
rnacentral:rRNA from 1 species